UGGCUGACCGGUAAAGCGCUUGGCUUCCAAACCAAAGGUCCCGGGUUCAAAUCUCGG
rnacentral:tRNA from 1 species